GAUGAACGCUGACAGAAUGCUUAACACAUGCAAGUCGAUGGGCAAGUGGUUCUUGCCCCAUGGUUACCAUGGCGGACUGGUGAGUAACACGUAAGUAACUUACCUGCGGGACCGGGAUAACAGCAGGCAACUGCUGACAAGCCCUGAUAACGUCAUUAAGCUGCAUAGCUUAGUGAUGAAAGUAGACGCCUGCGGAGAGGCUUGCGUCCUAUUAGCUAGUUGGAGGGGUAACGGCCCACCAAGGCGAAGAUAGGUAGCCGGCCUGAGAGGGUGGACGGCCACAAGGGGACUGAGAUGCGGCAGUGACGCAUAAGGGAGGAAGGAGGGAAGAAUAUUGGAGAAAGGGGGCAAGCGUGAUCCAGCAAUUCGGGGUGCACGAAGACGGUUUUCGGAAUGAAAAGUGGUUUCAGAAGGGAAGAAGGAAGUGACGGUACCUGAAGAAGAAGCGACGGCUAAAUACGUG
rnacentral:rRNA from 1 species